ACCCAUGUAUACACUCAUUCACAAUUCCCACACACAACACUGUAACACGACCAUACACAACAUGUACACAAUUGUCUUAGUUUGCCAUGUAGAAAUAUACAAACAGAAAUAUUCAGACUUUGGUUAUAAGAAAUUUAAUUUAAUAAUUGUAUUUAUUUAGCAGAGGUGUCCCUGGACUUUAUUGACAAAAGAUUUUGUUUUCAGAAUAAAAAGUUGUGUCCAAAUCAGUAACAAUUGUACUUUCUGUUCAGGACAUUCAAUCAUGACAUGAUCCAUGUGGAUGCUGUCCAUUGAGGAAAGAGUUUGUUCAGCGGUUUCUGGAUAGAAUUAAUUCCAAAGAUGGGAAAAAGUGCACAUCCAGACAAGGAGCAAGCAAAUAGACAAGGAACUUGGUGCAGAGAAAAGCUGUGGCCAUUAACCCCCAUGUGAACAGCUUCAUGCAGUCCCUGAUUGAGUUCGAAUGGACGACUUCAAAGUAAAGGCCACUGUGGUCUGUCUGCCACAGUUUAAUGCAUUUAUUUUUAGUGUUAAAUGAAAUUCAAGUAGAAUAUUUAAAACUAUGGGCCAGUGUUCUUUUUACCACAGUGAAAUGUUACCUUUUAGUCGAUGAUGGACUUUAAACUGAAAACUUCAAACUAUGGAACAGUGUUCUAUUUGCCAGAGUUAAAUAUGUUACAGCAGGGGUCUCCAAACUUGUUUAUACUUGUUGAUUUUAUUUUAUGUUACUUGAUUAUAUGUUUAUUAUUGUUUAAAAUCUUGUUUUAAAUAUGUUUUGUUUCGAUUAAAUGUUUUUUAAAUAAAAUUUUGAUACAAA